GCGGCGUGCUUACCAUGCAAGUCGUGCGAGAAAGGGGACUUCGGUCCCUGAGUAGAGCGGCGCACGGGUGAGUAACGCGUGGGUGAUCUACCCGGAAGUCUGGGAUAACGGCGGGAAACUGCCGCUAAUACCGGUUAAUCUUCCAAUUCGAAUUGGAGGGAAAGACGGCCUCUGCUUGCAAGCUGUCGCUUUCGGAUGAGCCCGCGUCCCAUUAGCUUGUUGGCGGGGUAACGGCCCACCAAGGCAACGAUGGGUAGCUGGUCUGAGAGGAUGAUCAGCCACACUGGGACUGAAACACGGCCCAGACUCCUACGGGAGGCAGCAGUGGGGAAUAUUGCGCAAUGGGGGAAACCCUGACGCAGCGACGCCGUGUGAGGGAAGAAGGCCUUCGGGUCGUAAACCUCUGUCGGGAGGGAAGAACCGCCAGGUUCCGAACAGGGACCUGGCCUGACGGUACCUCCGAAGGAAGCGCCGGCUAACUCCGUGCCAGCAGCCGCGGUAAUACGGAGGGCGCGAGCGUUAAUCGGAAUCACUGGGCGUAAAGCGCACGUAGGCGGCCAGAUAAGUCGGGCGUGAAAGCCCUCGGCUCAACCGAGGAAUUGCGUUCGAUACUGUUUGGCUUGAGUCCUGGAGAGGGUGGCGGAUCUCCGGGUGUAGGAGUGAAAUCCGUAAAUAUCCGGAG
rnacentral:rRNA from 1 species